UUACGGUCAAAUCACGCUGAAACACCGGUUCUCGUACGAUCAUCGAAGUUAAGCAGCGUAGAGCCAGGUCAGUACUUAGAUGGGGGACCGCUUGGGAACACCUGGUACUGUAAG
rnacentral:rRNA from 1 species